AUGAUAGAAGACAAACUGGCUUGUCACUCCCUUUGGGUGGGAGAGCUUGCGUGUUCGAGUCGCGCCUAUCAUA
rnacentral:tRNA from 3 species